rnacentral:misc_RNA from 1 species
GCAGUCUGGCCCUCCUAAAGUGAGGCAGAUUGUUCCAUCUACCCCGUUUGGCCCAAGUUCCAAUGCAGGGUUGGUUAGUAGCACUAACAACCUUGCAGGGCAGCAGCUCGCCUUUCACAGCAGAGAGAAUCAAGUGCCUCCUAGAAAGGGGGUUGUGCUUGGAAAUGGAAUGCCUUCCAUGCAUCCCCCUCCGUCAUCUGCAAACAUGAGUCAAGGUGCAGAUCAGACUUUGCCCGCAAAAAAUGCAUUAAAUAGCCCAGAAAA